CGCGCAUUAUACAGAAGUGGAGUGUUUCUUCCGUGCUUCAAGAGAAAAUCUAACCAAAAUCGAAAAGGGUUUUGGUAAUGGAAGUGCAGUGAACUAGUGCGGUUGUGUUGUGUCGUCACCCUGGUGGUUGAUGGUCCUUCCUAGGCAAGACCGACUUAAUAAGGCUAAAGGAUUCCAGAAGGGCAGCCUUAUAAAGGUAGGAUUUUUCUUUUUUGCAUGUUGGUGUAGGGUUUACUGCAUUUUUAUUUUGUGUAUUUAGUAGUGGGGGAAGUGAAUAGUGCAUAUAGUGACUGACAGGUAAGUUCACUAGGUACUCUUUUUAGCCGACCUUCGUAUGAUAGUACUAAGUGAGUUGUGGCCAUCUUCUCAGACUAUCAUCUUAUUGACGUUAGAUUUUCUGCAAGCAUUCUUCGAAUAGACUUUUUCGCGGCAUAAAUCAGUUUACUCCACAGAAAUCAAUAUGACUAUGAUUUCAUAGCCAUAGCCAUCUGUGAGGCAAAUAGAUUUUAUGUGCGAAUCAGAUUAUGAAAAAUAUUGCAGCCAAUUCAUCCGUUUCCAAGUUUAAUCAUUUAUGGAUUGCUAUACCUCACUCAGGAUUACGCGAAGAUCGGCUUAGAGCUUAAAGACGGUAAGUACACAUGAAUCGCCGUAAGCGUGUUCGUUCAUCUAUCAUUACUAUAAAUUAGUUAAUCUAAAAUAAUUGUUUCCGCUGAGAUUUUUGUUUAAUGAAUGAACACGCCGAUAAGUGGCCUUAAAGAGCAUAGUCGUUUCAAUAAUUCUACUAACUAAUUUUUUCCGAUUGCUUAUAGUGCCCAUGGUAGAGUCACCCGCCACGUGUCCUGCGUCUACUGAUGAAACUCCAACUCCUGUGAUGGAUUCCAUCGCAUUCCAUGGCCAUCAACGAUCCGAUGGAGAAGUACACGGGUACCGCUUAUGUGAGCAAGUCAUGGGUAAUGGAGAUAAGGAUCGACUUCUGUCUGUCGUACGGAUGUGCACUGUCGUAGUUAUGGUUCCUUCCAAUUAGGCGAGACCGAAAUUAAUAAGGCUAAAUUAUUCCAGAAGGGCAGCCUUAUAAAGGUAGGAUUUUUCCUUUUCUAUGCAUGGGCUAUUCCUUUUUUUGUGUAUUUAGCAGUGAGGGGGGAAGUGCAUAUAGUGAUUAUAACAACAACCGGCGACUAAUUUAACUGACCUUCGUUUCAUAAUAGGUACUAUGUGAUAUGUGACUUUCUUCUCAGUCUACCAACUUGAUGACGUAAGGUUAACUGCAAUUACUCCUAAAUGGUUUGUUUCGCAGCGUCAAUCAACAUACUUCAUGUUAAUCAGAAUGACUAUGAAUUCAUGUUCAUGCUGCUACCAUAUAGUAACUCGAUUUUCGUUGCGAAUCAACCUAUGAAGAGGGUUAUUGGAGUCAUUUUUUCCGUUACCAAGCUGAAUGACUUCGAAGUUUGUUACACCUCAUUUACUAUUACACGAAGAUCGGUGUGUUUGGUUUUAUAGGUAGGUAACCAAUUGAUUGAUUACAUCGCUUGCUUCCUCACUAAUCUCAUUUUUUACUGUUCACAGAGCCAAUAUCAGGCAGCAUCUGCUGUGGUCCGGCUUCCAACCCAUGGUGAACGAUUAGAUGAGAUCCAACCAACCGCCGCCGAUCUUGUUGAUCAAUGAGCACUGUUCAAAUAAAAAAAAGAUUCCAGAAGAGCAGCGUUAUCAAGGUAGGAU